rnacentral:rRNA from 1 species
AUUGAACGCUGGCGGCAUGCCUUACACAUGCAAGUCGAACGGUAACAGGUCUUCGGAUGCUGACGAGUGGCGAACGGGUGAGUAAUACAUCGGAACGUGCCUAGUAGUGGGGGAUAACUACUCGAAAGAGUGGCUAAUACCGCAUGAGAUCUGCGGAUGAAAGCAGGGGAUCGCAAGACCUUGUGCUACUAAAGCGGACGAUGGCAGAUUAGGUAGUUGGUGGGAUAAAAGCUUACCAAGCCGACGAUCUGUAGCUGGUCUGAGAGGACGAUCAGCCACACUGGGACUGAGACACGGCCCAGACUCCUACGGGAGGCAGCAGUGGGGAAUUUUGGACAAUGGGCGCAAGCCUGAUCCAGCAAUGCCGCGUGCAGGAUGAAGGCCUUCGGGUUGUAAACUGCUUUUGUACGGAACGAAAAGCCCCGGGUUAAUACCCUGGGGUCAUGACGGUACCGUAAGAAUAAGCACCGGCUAACUACGUGCCAGCCGCCGCAGUAA